GAGGCUAUAGCUCAGUGGUAGAGCAUAUGCUUCGCGUGCACAAAGUGCUGGGCUCAAUCCCCAGUACCUCCA
rnacentral:tRNA from 1 species